rnacentral:rRNA from 1 species
CCCUUAGAUGUCCUGGGCCGCACGCGCGCUACAAUGACUUAUUCAGAAAGUUUACCUGGUUCGGAAGAAUUCAGGGUAAUCUUUGUAAUACAAGUCGUGAUGGGGAUAGAUUAUUGCAAUUAUUAAUCUUCAACGAGGAAUUCCUAGUAAGCGCGAGUCAUCAGCUCGCGUUGAUUACGUCCCUGCCCUUUGUACACACCGCCCGUCGCUCCUACCGAUUGAAUGGUCCGGUGAAAUGUUCGGACCGCGACAAGGCGGACGGUUCGCUGUCAGCUUUGCUGCGGGAAGUUCAUUAAACCUUAUCAUUUAGAGGAAGGAGAAGUCGUAACA